rnacentral:misc_RNA from 1 species
CGAGAGUGUAACAACUCCCAACCCACUGUUUACCCACCCGUCCAACGUGCUUCGGCAGGCAGCCCUGUGGGACAGAGCCUCGCCCCCCUCGCGGGGGGUGCCUGCCGCUGGCCAACCAAAACUCCAGCUGUUUUAGUACCAUCUGAGUCUCAUACAAAAUAAACA